GUUCUUUUUUGCUUUUUGAAGAAACCGUGCUGUGGGUUUUUUUGCCCAAUAGAGCGAAGGAUCAAUGAUAAAGGAGCCAUCUUUUUCAGGUGCUGGCUAAUAUGAGGAGAGAAUGUGGGCUGCAUAAUGUGACAUGCAAAGUGCUGGGACUUACAUGGGGUGUUUGGGAUGAACAGAUAUUCACCCUGUGCCCAAAUAUUAUCCUUGGAGCUAAUGUCCUAUAUGAAAC